GGAGAUUGAAGCACCGCCCGCGCUCGCGUUGGCUUCCCGCACUCGCCGUCUUCUGUCGCCAGAUGUAGCACGCGAUUUCAGCAAAAAAAAUGAAUGUAUGUAGCAAAAAAUUUCAUAGGUCUCAGCAAAAAGAAGCAAUGGUUGCAACAAGAAGACAUCGUCGCCGCCGUCGAGCCUGCAACUCCAUCAUGAAAAAAGGAUGUAACAAAAAUCCUCGACGGAUGUAGCAAAAACUACAAUGGUUGCAGCAAGAAAUUCGCCGCCGUCACGAGACUCAGCUCGGCCGUGAAUGAAUGUACCAAAAAAAUAAAACGGUUGUAACAAAACAAAUCACCGGUCGCAGGAAAAACAUAUACCGGUUGCAACAAAAAAAGAAGCAAAAAAACAUCAUGGUUACCGUGGUCACCAUAGGCGUCGUUGAAGAAGAAGAAGCCCGUUCCAGCAAUUCUAGAUGCCGGUUCCAGCAAUCUCUGCGGCUGGUUGCAGCAAAAUGAUACGCUCGUGACAUAGAUUCCAGCAAGUGUGAUUGCCGGUUCCAGCAAAUCGAGAAGCCGAUUCCAACAAAUCUUGACGUCGGUUCCAACAUUACAACACACCCCAUUGUAGCUUAUGUGAGCCGGUUGUGGCUUUUUCGCCGGCCGAUUGCAGCUUUUCCAUGGCCCAUGUAGCACAGGUUGCUGCCGCCAUUGUAGCACGCACGACGGGUAAUCCUUCCUGUCGGUGCUUCCGCUCCGGCCAAUGGCGGCAACGACACAUCACAGCUUGCAGCUUUUUUUUACCUAUUCACCGCAGCGACGGCCGCUAUCGAGCCGGUGGCCGCAUGGUGUGUGAAGCAAGGGGCAGGGAGGAGCAGAGGUGUUCUAGCGCAGGGCGAGGUAGAGGAUUGGGAGCUGCCGUGGGCGCUGAGAGAGAGAGAUGUGUGUGUGGAAGAAGAUGCGGAAGGGAAAAGGGAUAAGGCUAGGUGUGAUAAUUCGGUGCCUGGGGCCAAUAGGCAGUACGCGAG
rnacentral:lncRNA from 1 species